rnacentral:lncRNA from 10 species
AAUCUGCUGGGGACUUAAUCUUGGAGUUUCCAGUCUCCAGAAUUAUAAGAAAUAAAUUUCUAUUAUUUAUAAAUUAACCAAUCUAAGGUAUUCUGUUUAGCAGCCCGAAUAAUGGACUAAGACAGACGCCUAACAUAUGAUCUAUCCUAGAUAAUGCUCUCUUCGCAUUCAGGAAGAAUGUAUAUUCUGCUUCUGAAUGGAAAAAAACAAAAUCAGGAUCAGGCACGGUGGCGCAUAAGGCCAGGAGUUUGAGACGUCUAGGCAACACAGCAAGAUCCAUUUGGUCCAAAGUAUAGUUCAAGUCUAAUGUUCGCUUAUUGAUUUUCUGUCUUGAUGAUCUACUGUUUGUUCUAAGUGGGGUGCUGAAGCCCCGUGCUAUUAUUGUAUUGCUGCCUAUUUCUCUCUUUGUGUCUGUUAAUAUUUGCCUUACAUAUUUUGGUUCUCUGGUGUUGGGCACAUAUAUAUUUACAAUUGUUAGUCCUCUUGAUGAAUUAACUCCUUUAUCAUUAUAUAAUGAUCUACUUUGUCUGUUUGUCAAUUUUUGACUUAGUCUAUUUUGUGUGAUAUAAAUAUGGCUACCUUGCUCUCUUUUGUUUUCUUUUUGCAUGGAAUAUCUUUUUCACUUUCAGUUUACAUGUGUCCUUAAAGCUGAAGUGAGUCUCUUGUAGGUAGCAUAUAGUUGAGGGGAGGGGGGUCUUCUUUUUUUUGUUGUUGCUGUUUGUUUGAUAGGGUCUUAAUCUGUCACCCAGGUUGGAGUGCAGUGGUAUGAUCACAGCUUACUGUAACCUUGAACUCCUGGACUCAAGCAAUUCUCUUGCCUCAGCCUCCCGGGUAGCUAGAGGUACAGGCAUACACCACCGUACUGAGCUAAUUAUUUUAUUAUUAUUAUUAUUAUUAUUUUUUUUUUUAGAGAAAGGGUCUCAUUGUGUUGCCUAGACUGGUCUCAAACUCCUGGCUUCAAGCCAUCCUCCUGCCUUGGCCUCCCAAAGUGCUAAGAUUACAGACAUGAGCCACCUGGCUCUGUUUUUUUUUUUUUUUUUUUUUUUUUUAGUCCAUUCAGCCACUGUAUGUCUUUUGAUUGGAGCAUUUAAUUCAUUUACACUCAAUUAAUGAUAGGUGAGAUUCCAGUGUUUCCUCCAGAAAGGCACAUUAUUCCUCCACCAUGGUCUUCUUUUUCCUGUGUACCUUGACCCUGUAGGAGAUGAGACUUCUAAAGUGAUUCCUUUCCCUCUUUUCUCCUCAUCACCCCUUCCCACUCUCUAAGGUUUUCAGGUGCUGGUUCCAUGGCUCUUCCUGAGCCGAAAAUAAGGAAACUCCAUAGACCUUGUCCACUGGAACUCGUUCCCAUCUACCCUCCACUCUAUCCAGGGUGAUGGAUCUCUGCAGUAAGUGGAAGAGUUCUUCAUGGCCCCCAAGGUUAUAUCCAUCUAGAACUUCAGCACGUAAUUUCAUCUGGAAAUAGUGCCUUUGCGGAUAUAAGUUAGGUAAAACUGAAGAUGAGAUCAUACUGGAUUAGGAUGGGAUCUAAAUCCAAUGAAAAUGUCUUCAUAAAAAACAGGAAAGAACCCAUAGAAACACAAGGAAGAAGGUCAUGUGAAGAUGGAGGCAGAGAUUGGAGGGAUGCAGCCACCGGCCCAGGAAUGCCAGCAGCCACCCAGAAGCUGGAAGGAAAUGAGGGAUUCUCUCCUAGAACCUUUAGAGAGAACAUGGUCCUGUGAACAGCUUGAUUUUGGACUUGCCCAUAGCUUGUAUACUCUUACUUUGGAUACAAUUUUAUCCAAACUUGGCUAAACAGUUUCUCAGCCUAUGGAAAAUUUAAAAUGGAGAAGAUUCAACUCGAUUCUUACAGAUUCAAAGCAAGAAAAUGAUGGGAACAUAGGAGGAGACCAAGAAAGCCUAUAAAAAGCAAAAAUAUGAAGUGAACAUUGUGGUAGCUUUAAGAUGUUUAGUGUAGCUGCAGGCACCCUAUACACAUGAAAACCCCCAAGGGGAAUCCCCAUAUCACAGUGUAGUGUGAUAUUUGACAUUCGUGAUCAUCUAGAGAUGUACAGAAAAGGUGAAUCUGUGUUCUGUAUAUUCUGCCUAAGGCAAAGAAAUGUUUAGCUCUCUUUAAAAUAGUUCCAUAAUUUUUUCUAAAAAGCUUUGCUUGAAAACUGUAAGCUUCCCAUAUCUGGAGCAUUUCACUUUAAAUAUUUGGAUAAAUAUGUUAUCUUCUUACUUGGACAUUUCAUGUGUUUAGGGAUUGUCUUCUAAAUUCUUCCUAAUUCAUAUAGCUGCUAACACUUCCCGCAGAGCUAAACCAUUACAGAUAUGAAAUAAAGACCUAUUGAUUUGACUUACUUUUACUUGUAAAACCUUCUGAGUGUUAUAACCUCAUUUAAUCUUUCAGCAUUUACAGUUUCAAGAGUUUGUGUCACAAUUAGAAGAAUUCAGCUGCACCUCCAAGUGACAGCAGUUGCUCUGGUUGGUGGGUGAUCUCAGGAGGCUUGAGAAUUGCUUUGUCUGUGAGGGAAGUAAGACAUUUUCAGAGCCCCACUUUAGAAGGUGUGAACUGGCUAGAUAAUGAACCCCAGGGCUAACGCUGCUAUAGCAGUGGGAAGGAGGUGAUGGGUUUUCAGUUUGGACCUCAAACAUCAAUACCCUCCUGGUACGGGGAGGAACAGAGUCCCUCCUUUACUUCUCCAUUAGAAAGAAUGAGAUGGCAAGACAAUGAAACAGGCAAAGUGAACAGAGAUGCAAGACAAAAUUCAGGUGAGAGAGCCAGAGCAUCACUCAGCCAUUCCUGACAUGUAAAACAGGCAACUAGAAAUUUGCAGAAAGGAAGCGAAGUCUCCAUAAAGAUGUUUUUAAAGUGAGCUUGAAGUAUUUGGAGACAAUUCAGUGUUACAUAAAAUCUGCAAAUCUCUGGAUAAAGAAGCAGAGAUCCCAGCAUGGGACAAAUGGAGCCUCAAAAGUGGGAAGAAGACAGAGAAGACCAGGGCAGAAUGCAUCUCUUCCUUUCUCUUGGCUUUCCUGGAUAAGGACUGCAUCAUUCCUGUGGAAGGACAGGCCAUCAGCUCCGAAACACUGUAUGUAUUUUCCAGUAUAUACUGCUAGCUGUGUGAUGUUGGGAAAAUUUGUUACCCUGUCUAACCCCCACUUCCCUCAUCUGUAAAAUGGAAAUAAUGAUAGUACCUACCUAUCUCAUAGGUGGCAACUACAAGGGGCAGCACACUCAGGGAAUUAAGGAAGUUUCAGUGAACAUCAACUUUAUGAACACAGUGUUCAUAAAGGCAGGUCAGUGCAGUGGUUUGGGAGCCAGGAGAAGCACGUGGGCCGGAGUGUGCCUGCAGGAGACAAGGUCAGAGAUGUUGCUAAUAAUGGAGAAUAAAGGAUGCAUUCUCAUUACUGACCUUGGAGUCGUUCAUUCAUUCCCAGAAUGUGUUUUGUCAGCUUACUAAAACACUAAGUUAAAUAAUCCCAGGUUUUGUUUAUU